rnacentral:rRNA from 1 species
AUUGAACGCUGGCGGCAGGCCUAACACAUGCAAGUCGAACGAGUGGCGGACGGGUGAGUAAUGUCUGGGAAACUGCCCGAUGGAGGGGGAUAACUACUGGAAACGGUAGCUAAUACCGCAUACCAUCGGAUGUGCCCGGAUGGGAUUAGCUAGUAGGUGGGGUAACGGCUCACCUAGGCGACGAGCCCUAGCUGGUCUGAGAGGAUGACCGGCCACACUGGAACGGAGACACGGCCCAGACUCCUACGGGAGGCAGCAGUGGGGAAUAUUGCACAAUGGGCGCAAGCCUGAUGAAGCCAUGCCGCGUGUAUGAAGAAGGUCUUCGGGUUGUAAAAUACUUUCAGCGAGGAGGCGUUACGCGCAGAAGAAGCACCGGCUAACUCCGUGCCAGCCGCCGCGGUAAUUC